UACGGAGGGUGCAAACGUUGUUCGGAAUCAUUGGGCGUAAAGCGCACGCAGGCGGUCUGGCAGGUCGGAUGUGAAAUCCCGGGGCUCAACCCCGGAAUUGCGUUCGAAACCUCCAGGCUGGAGUCACAGAGGGAGAGGUGGAAUUCCUGGUGUAGAGGUGAAAUUCGUAGAUAUCAGGAGGAACACCGGUGGCGAAGGCGACCUCUUGGCUGAUGACUGACGCUGAGGUGCGAAAGCGUGGGGAGCAAACAGG
rnacentral:rRNA from 1 species